rnacentral:misc_RNA from 1 species
CCCUUACCCCUCCAGCUAUAACGACAAUUGUCACCUCAACCUGGAACUUCUUUGUAAUCAUUAUUGCAGGGUAUCAUUUGGCACACAGUUCAAUCCAAAAAUUGAGGGCUCGAAGAACAGGCGAAAAACCCACUUGUUUUUGAUCACUCUUUGUUUCUGCACACUCGACUACCUGAGUAUGAUAGAAUCCACUAUGCUGUAUAUUCCAAUGAAUGGUAUACCAUGAAUGGAAGAAAUAUUCGAGACCUAGUUCUUCUAAUGUUACGAACCAGUAAACCUCUUCAUCUAAACUUUGGUAAACUGUUUCCUUUAACGAUGGCUACAUUUUGCAGUCUGUUAAAAACGUCAGCAGGAUACAUAUCUGUAUUACUUACAACAAGGAGUCAAUCAAAGUUUUAAAAUAUAAAUAAUG